AUCCAGCUGACGAGUCCCAAACAGGACGA
rfam:Schistosoma haematobium scaffold4812_1, whole genome shotgun sequence.